GCCUGGGUGGCUCAGUUGGUUGAGCAUCUGACUUCAGCUCAGGUCAUGAUCUUGCAGUUUGUGAGUUUGAGCCUCACAUCAGACU
rnacentral:tRNA from 1 species